CUUUAUUAAUAUGUAAGUUAUAUGGAAGUGGAGCCAAUUAUUGGUUGUUGGGCAUGUCAGGUGGGUGAGACAGCUGGGGACCAUGCAUGAAGUCAUUCAUCGACGUACCACCAGGGGUCCCGUGAGGGAAAUCAAAGUUCCCAUGGCUCUGCAUUCAGGAUUCCCCACAUGUACUGGUCCACCUCGAGUCCUUCUAACAACGCAGUUUUAC